ACAUGUCUACAACAUAGCAUUAAUGCACCAGAUCCUAUUAGAACUCCAUAGUUAAGUGUGCUCAGGCUAGAGUAGUACUGGGAUGGGUGAUGGCCCGGGAAGUCCUAGUGUUUUACAUGCC
rfam:Picea glauca, whole genome shotgun sequence.